rnacentral:rRNA from 1 species
GAUGAACGCUGGCGGCGUGCUUAACACAUGCAAGUCGAACGGGAAACCUUUUAUUGAAGCUUCGGCAGAUUUAGCUGGUUUCUAGUGGCGGACGGGUGAGUAACGCGUGGGUAACCUGCCCUAUACAGGGGGAUAACAACCAGAAAUGGUUGCUAAUACCGCAUAAGCGCACAGGGCCGCAUGGUCCGGUGUGAAAAACUCCGGUGGUAUAGGAUGGACCCGCGUUGGAUUAGCCAGUUGGCAGGGUAACGGCCUACCAAAGCGACGAUCCAUAGCCGGCCUGAGAGGGUGAACGGCCACAUUGGGACUGAGACGCGGCCCAGACUCCUACGGGAGGCAGCAGUGGGGAAUAUUGCACAAUGGGGGAAACCCUGAUGCAGCGACGCCGCGUGAAGGAAGAAGUAUCUCGGUAUGUAAACUUCUAUCAGCAGGGAAGAUAGUGACGGUACCUGACUAAGAAGCCCCGGCUAACUACGUG